ensembl:lncRNA
GUAAAAUCGCAUCACAUGUUGUAAUUGAUUGCGUCGCUGUUAUGUUGACCAUAUGGAAUCGACGUGCGAGACAGUUUGCCUGGGCUUACCGUCUGACUCCCAUUUACUGCACAGCUUGUGUUUCUGACCUUCAAUAUAUGUGCUACUGCUUCUAGCAUCUUGGAAAACAGACAGCGCUACUUUCCAUAAACAUACACCACUAAUUGUAAUUUCAGAUCAGUGGCUGGAGUUGGAGUUGUCAUUGAUUUAAAGUACGUGCAGAAUCAUAAUCCAAGAGGUUUAUCCAACAAAACCAGGCCUCACUUACCUUCCUAGUAUUGCCUGUGGCGCAUCAGACCUAGCAGGAGCCAGACAGCACAAUACAUUUGAAAUGAAGAUUUCUCUCCAUGUAAUUAAUUUCACAUUUGUCUAAUCAAAUUCGUUCAAGGGAACAUGCUCACGUGAAGUUUCGAGCACAAUGCACCAAUUACAUUGUCUCAUUCAUGUGCAAUACACUAUAUACUGUAUGUGCAUACAUUUAGGAAAUACGUCUCACCGUGCCAACUUUUUUUUUCUCUCUCUCUUCCCUUCUCUUUUUCUUUUUUCAGAGGAUUGUUUUGGAAACAGAAAGAUCAUGCACAUCCAAUCUGGAGGUAAUCAUAUCUACCUACGGGGGAAGGAUGGCCAGCCACACAGGAGGGUGAUUUUUGUUAAGGAGGAGAAGGAGGCCGUGCUGACUGUGAUGCUUGCUGGCCAAUUCGGAGUGAAGCGCCUGAUUGCCAAAAUCAACCUACGCUUCUUCUGACAGGGAAUUGUCAAGGAGGUGGACAGCUGGGCAAGUGAAAUAACCUUUUGUUUAUCAAUCACAUUCUAUUAUAUGUGGAAAUUAUUAUGAUUUCAAUGAAUGUCAUAUCAGAGAGGACGCAAUGUUUCAAUUUGUCACUUUUUGCUUAAAGGUCAGUACCUGUCCAGCCUUCCAGAAGUUUGAGAGGGCGAAGACUGUGGCGCCGGAGUUGAAGCACGUCAAAGUUGUUUUACCAUGGCACAUGAUCGGUAAGUGUCCCAAUUCAAAUUUUGCCCCGAUAAGAUGUUUUGUAACGGUUGCUUUAUUUGACCACAGCAGAGUUCAAUAUUAUAGAGUGUGUGUGUCAGUAUCCUUACAAAUAUGAAAAUCUGCAUACUGUAUGACACUGAUACGGGUAAGAAUAAAGUAAUCUUCUCUCUAUUGUUUUAAAUGUAACUCUAAAUACCCAUCUGCAACCCAUUAAAAAGGGUGCUUGGAACCAAAAAUAGAUUUUUAUUUUUUAUGAUACAAAACUAGUGAGACCACCUCCAAGGAUAUGGUGGGCAUCUUCAACACCCACUAUUCUCCUGAGGAGGUCAUCUUGAGUGUCCAAGGUCAGGUACGGAUUGUUAUAGGUUAUAUUCUGUCACCAAUGGUUUGUUUUGUUUAUUUUGUUACAAUCUGUUUUUGUUUUUCCAUGGUAGAUAAUCAGACAUAUUUCAAUAUCUUACAUUGUCAAUAGAUAUCACUUUCCUACCCCCCUCCUCCAGGUUUGGUGAAUGGACCAACCAGGCCAUUGUGAUUGACUUAGUGUUGUUUGUCUAUUGCUAUUUUUGCUUAACGGUCUUUCAGAUCACUGAAACCCCACCUGAUGUGGUGGAAGUUGUCGAAACCAGAUCAGGACGCCUUCGAGAAUUACCUUCAGCCACGGACUGAGAAGGAUGUGGAGGUCUUUGACCAUAUAAAAAUGAUUGUCCGUUUGUUUGUUUUCUGGACCUCCAAGAGCUAUGUAAGAAAUGUAUUUGUAAUGUGAAAUAUAAUUGCAUGUGUUCCUGUCAUCCAACAAGGUGAGACUGAACAUGGACAAGGCGCAGGAGAAACAGAAGGAGAGCUACCGGAGCAGAGUCAAGAAGGGGACCAAGUGCUACGACAUCCGGGCAAAUGACUUGGUUUGGAAGAAGAACGAAAGGAAGGCAGAGACCUUGAAAACCUCGCUGCUCCUAGCUGUGGUCACGAUCUGUUAAAGUGAAUAGAAAAAAUUCAGAUAAUAACUAUUUGCAUUUGCACACAAAAUAACCUGAAGCUAGUUUCAGUUUCCCUAACACUGACAUUUUUCUCAUGGUCUUCCUAGGGUUACCUAGGGUUACCUAAGGUUACCUAGGAAGCUAACCAUCUUCUGCAGUUGGACGGUCUACCACUGGAAGCAUUGACGCCCUACACUUCAGUGAAGCCCAAUUUACAAAGGAGGUUAAGCUUUGGUUGACAUUUGAGAAAGCAAGAAAUGGUUGUUAUACUAAGCUUACAAAAAUGUACCUCUUCAAUUUACCUCUCCAAAUGACUUUAGGACCAUCGACUGUCCGAGCCCCCCAGGAGGUAUCCCAUCUACCAGAACCAGUGAGUUCGGAUCAGUCUGAUUCUCUGUGCUCUGAGUCGGAGGGGGACUAGCUUGAGGUAGGCUACACCUUCCAAAAGUUUUGAAAAGUACAUAUCUCUGUUAAUCCAUCAAAUUUUCUCACAGUAAAGUGUAACCUGUGUGUUUGCUUGUUUAUGUCGGUCUCCUACCAUGUCCCCUUCAACUCUGCUCCUGUUCUCCAAGAGCUAGGGGUUUUGGCCAACACCCAGAUCCACCUGAUGUCCUCCAUUACCAACCAUUGUUUUCAUUACCUCAUCUACAGCUACUGUUGUCAUUACGUCAUCUACAGCUACGGUUAUCAUUAUCUGCUAAGAAAGCUGUCUUGCGCUAUCAUACUGGGCACAUAAUAUGUGAGAGACACAGAUUAACUAAAAACAUUAGCACUGAAAAUCCUCUGAACAAAGCGAACAGCAGUGCCUGGACUUCGCAGUCUCCUUCUUCAAGUCCCCCCUUCUGAGACUGGGUGCCUGUUGAGAACAAGUGACAGGCAGAAUCUCCCACCCACACAGCAACCACCUCCUAUAUUCCACACACCAGAAUUAUGUAUUUAGUCUAUGAUUGCCAUGUGAAAAUAAAUUAAUGACACAACUGUACCAAAAAAUAUCAACGUUUCUGUGUUACAAUCUUAAAUAUUGACGGGUUGGUUUUCACAACAUGUUCAUUGCUGUAAGGUAUCCUUUGAUGGUAUUUAUUUGUUCCUCAUUAUUCAUUGAAUGUAGUAAAUUCUGCCGUAGGGAAAGCGUGCAUCUCACAGGUGAGGGCAACGACCUCUUCCUUGAGUUUGAGAGCUGAUCCCUCUUUUGUUCUAGCAAGAGCUGUGCUCUUGGGGUAAUUCUCAAAAUGCAUUUAUUUUUAAUUUUUAAAAGGAAGUGUCAGGGAACAUUGUUUUUUACAUGUAUCUAACCUUUGUGUAGUGACAGUGUCCAUAUAUACUGUACUUCCAUAAAUGUUUUAUACUGGUAUAAGGGGACUUUAUGUAUUAACCUAUCAAGAUCAAAUAUUGUAGUUGGGCAACAUAUGAGAUGUGAAUAUAAAACAUUUCAUUCUGAAGUUGGAGUGUACUUUCUCUUGAUUCAGCUCAAAUAACGGCCGUCAUUGAUUUAAAGAAAUGUUGUGACAUUUUUUACGUGGUUGCGUCAUAUUUCUUUGCGUACUUUCUAUUGAAGCUUGCAUCAAUGCAUGCUUCAAAAUAUGUACAAACGGAGUUUGCAUUUUGAGAAGUGCCCUCCAUGCUCCAUUUCGCAUGCUUUCAUUUGGAAUCGUACUCCGAUCCUCCCGUGCUCCAAUUUUCGUUGUAUGCAUUUUGAGAAUUACCCAUCGACUUUGACAGACCAUUUAAAUUUCUUGAAUCCUUCCUUCCAAAAUGAUUUUGUUCAUUUACUCAAUAGUGAUUUCACGUUUAUUUAUCUUGCUUGGUUAAAAUACAAUACUCAAAAACAGUCGAUUUGUUGACUCAUUUAAUCACGUUAAAACCCAUUUCCUUUUCUUUUGACUGUGUGCUACUACAGGCGGCAACCUGAUCUCAUACCAUUUCUUAUUAUUCUGUAUGGAUAUUUUUAUGUGUAAGUAUUCAUUUGUGGAUGUCCAUCUAUUUCACAUAAUAUGUUAUGAGUUACAAUUCAUAUGGUAUGUUACGAAUUGCAGUUGUAUGAUAUGUUAUGAAUUUCAAUUGUAAACUAUGUUAUGAACGCAAUACGUAGGAUAUGUUGCCAAUUCCAAUUUGUUGUAACUAAAGUUAGCUAGGUGUCUAAUGCUAAUGUUAGCUAGGCUAGGGGUUACGGUUAGGAGUGAGGUGAAAGGGUUAAGGUUAGGAGUUAUGUUCAAGGUUAGUGUUAGGGGAAGUGUUAGCUAACAUGCUAAGUAGUUGCAAAGUAGCUAAAAAGUAGUAAGUAGAUGCAAAGCUGGUAAUUGGACAAAAUGCUAGUUGUCCAUGAGAUUUGAACACUCAGUUUUUGGGUUGCUAGACAUUUGCUUAUACGACUAACCAACCUAAUUUUUGUAUGAAAGGAGAAUUUUCCUCUUUCUGAAGUCAAUCUAAAUGUUUUAUGUAAAUGAAAUGUUAUAGUCGGUUCCAGACACUUUUUCUGUGAUUUGGCUUGUUUUUGAUAAACUUACCCCAGCUUCGAUUCACUUUCUCAUUGCUCUUUGUACAGCAUCAGGGCAUGCAAAAGACAUGAUUAAACUCCAAAAACACCUAAACACAUCAUUUUAGUAAUGGACAUGCUCUCUUUAUAGUGAGGUCUAGGUUGCGCCCUGAUACUACACAACAAGCAAUGAGGAAGUGAAUCGCAGCCGGGGUAAGUUUAUCAAGAACAAGCCAAAUCACAUACAAAGUGUCUGGACCCUUCUAUAAUGUGCCAUUUACAUCAAAAAUAGAGAUUUACUUUAGAAAUAGGAAAAUUAUCCAGUAACCUUCUGUCUUAUGUAACCAAACUAAACGUAACAUAUCAUAGUAAUAAACGUAACAUAUCAUACUAAUUUCAGUGUCCCGGAUUUUAUUUUAGUAUGUUACGUCUAUAAGGGUCGAGUCUGGUAACUUGAAGUGAGCAUGCACAACUGAGGUUCUGUUUCUAUGUGUGUUUGGGGUUCAACCAUUUCCUGUAUGCAGUUCAUACCUAGAUUACUUAACAAAAUGAUUUGUUUUUUUAGGCUAUGGUUUCUCAUGGCUGUUCUUCGAGGAAAUAUAGCGUAGCUAGCUAACUGCAGUGUUUGUUGUGUCUGAAAUCUGGCUACCUCCUUUUAUUGUAGCUGUAGC